ACAGAGCCCCCGAUUCCCCUCAUCUCUCCCAGAUCGCCGCCACACCUCCCUCCUCCGAUCCACCUCGCCGCCGGCCCUUCCCUUCCCCUCAUCCCACCGCGCAGCUCCGGCGGCUGCUGGAUCCAUCGCAUCCCCCACCCACCCAUCCCUCUCGCGUCCGAUCUCUAGCUCUCUUCACGCGCCUCCUCGCCAUCUGCGACCGCUAAUUCAGGCGACGUCCGGCGAAUCCCGCCAUCACGAAGCAUAGCCCGAGGUCCCCAUCGAAACGCGGCGCCGUCCCAUGCGACUAGAUCCGCUGCUCACGGCUACCCCUGCCCUGGCAAGGGUUUCGGCCGUCGGCUCCGGCGCCGGUGGCCAGGUCGUCCUCCUCUGGUACUCCUCUCUUCCGACGUGCAGGGAGGAACAGGCUGCGUAUGAACUCCAUCGUGACGCUACUGACGGUGAUGUCAAUGGACGAGAUGUGCCUCGGCGUCGACGAGCAUGCACUGAGGCGGGAAGUGGAAAAGGAAUACAUCGCCAAGCGAACUCAAUGGUACGAUGCUGGAGGUGGAAGACGUGGCCAACAUGGCGCUGUAUGUCGAGUCGGACGAGGCUAGUGGCGGAGCGUGGCAAGAAGUGAAGAAACCAAGAGGGGGCCAUUUUUUUAAAAACAAAAUACGCAUUACUAGGAGCAGUGUCAGCUGAUGGUUCAUUCUUUUUCAACACUGCUCACAAACAGAAGUAGACGAGUAUAUGGAGGUGUUAUUUUUCAACCGGAAGUAUAGCUGCUACUCACGUAUGCAAGAACGACAGACAAAUUAUUUCCAGCCAUAAUUCAAGAAAACCAAGACUGUAAUGGAGUAUAGAAUAAAAGCAUGCAAAAUGAGUACUUCGGAGUCAUGCGUUGUGGAUCAAGGCAUUGACACAGCCGACCCGCCGGCAGCGACAUGCCUCGUCGAUCAAAGGCAUUGGCACAGCCAACCGGCCUGCAGCAAUGUCGAGCACGACGGUCACCACGUCGCGGCCUGAGGGACAUUCUCAAUGUGUUGAUCUCGCCGCCGAAGGAGCAGAGACAAUUGGUGCGGCACAAGGUCGCGACCGCGACGACCCUGCAGCCCGCGCACACGAGGUCAAGGGCUUGAUGCAGGACUCAUUGCCGAUACUGGAGGAGGCGCCAUGGCAGCACCAAUAGGUCUUGCAGCAUGCUACACGGUAGCUCUCAAACUGCGCAGAGUCAAGAUUGAUGCUAUGGUACCAUUAAUGAUUCCAGCUGAAGAUAUUUGCAACCUGGAGUGUUACACAAGUUUACUAUUGUGCCAAUGUGUCAUCAUGUGUUUCCAUGAUUUUUGCAAACCUUUAAUAUAUCCCCGGGUUCCUUUUCUUCUAUGCUAGAAUUGGUUUGGAAAAACUGUAUGCAACUAUGGCCAUGAAAUUGUAUUAAGAAUUAUGCAAGGAGUGAGUCAUCAUUUCUUGAAUGGGUUUGCAGUUCUAGCUCUUUGUAUACCACACAAUAUUGUGUCAUGUCUUGAUAUUAUUAUAACUUUAAUAUGAUCCAAACACACACAACUUCCUACAGAAAACUUACUAUGAAUUUCCUUUUGGCAACGUUUAUGAAACACAAAUGAAGUAAGAUGCCAGAAAUCAAUUGAAGAAAUUGAUGGAAAUUAGUAGAAAAUUAUCUUUCUAACAUUUCAGUAUUACCAAACUGAUUCUAAUGAGAAUAGUAGAUUUGUAUACGCCAUACAGUAGGGUGUGGAUUCAUUCCUUAAGGCUGGCUUAUAAUUAUGUUCUAAUUAUAGUUUCUGUGUCAGCCCAUUCUCAUUCAUUGUAUACUUUUAAUGAUAACAGAGCGGCUUCUUUUAUAAAUUCUUAGCUUCUUUUAUAGAUUCUUAGUUACUCAUGUAUGCAGGUCAGCAUCAAGGCUAUGAAGCGAAAGAUCAGAUAAAGGUUUUUGCCAUGUUUGUCCUUCAGCUUAGUAACUAUUCAAAAGAUAUAUGGCUGAUUAUAUGGUUGCGUGGCAAGAAUACUGCAAUGAUGAUGAUGGUGUUCUACUGUUCUGGUUCAUGAUGAUGAUGAUAAUGACGACAGACGCUUUUAGUUGUAGCUAAGUUGUAGGGAUGUUGUUCCUGUUGGAUGAUGUUCGUGUUCCUCAGUUAAGUUUUUGUUAAGUUGUAGGGAUGUUGAUGGAUGCUUUCAGUUUAAGUUUUAAUGUCAAGAAAAUAUUUAGAUUAUGUAUCACAAUUGGAUGAAGUUCCUCAUGUAAUAUCUACUAUUGUAAUCCAGCAGUUCUAUCCAAUAUAUGAUUUCGGAUUU